AUUUAAAGGGCCGCGGUAUUUUGACCGUGCAAAGGUAGCAUAAUCAUUAGUCUUUUAAUUGAGGGCUGGAAUGAAUGGUUUGACGAAAUAUUGACUGUCUCUAUGUAAUAAGUAGAAUUUAACUUUUGAGUCAAAAGGCUUAAAUGAUUAUAAAAGACGAGAAGACCCUAUAGAUCUUUAUAUGAGGAUAUAUUUAUUUUAUUUGGAUGGUGUCUUGAUAAGUGGAUUAUCGUAUUUUGUUGGGGUGACAUAAAGAUAUAAAUAACUCUUUAUCACAAGAACAUUGAUUUAUGGACAAUUGAUCCGUUAUUAGCGAUUAAAAGAUAAAGUUACCUUAGGGAUAACAGCGUAAUUUUUUUUGAGAGUUCCUAUCGACAAAAAAGGUUGCGACCUCGA
rnacentral:rRNA from 1 species